rnacentral:rRNA from 1 species
AUACGAAAGGAGCAAGCGUUGUUAGGAUUUACUGGGCGUAAAGAGAGUGUAGGUUGUUUAUUAAGUCGGAUGAGAAAUCCCGGGGCUCAACCUCGGAACUGCAUUCGAUACUGGUAGACUAGAGUUCGGGAGGGGUAAGCGGAAUUCCGUGUGUAGCAGUGAAAUGCGUAGAUAUACGGAGGAACACCUGAGGCGAAGGCGGCUUACUGGACCGAUACUGACACUGAGACUCGAAAGCGUGGGUAGCAAACAGGAUUAGAAACCCGAGUAGUCC